GACGAACGCUGGCGGCGUGCUUAACACAUGCGAGUCGAACGCUGAAGCUCAGCUUUUGUUGGGUGGAUGAGUGGCGAACGGGUGAGUAACACGUGAGUAACCUGCCCCCUUCUUUGGGAUAACGCCCGGAAACGGGUGCUAAUACUGGAUAUUCACUGGUCUUCGCAUGGGGGUUGGUGGAAAGGGUUUUUCUGGUGGGGGAUGGGCUCGCGGCCUAUCAGCUUGUUGGUGGGGUGAUGGCCUACCAAGGCUUUGACGGGUAGCCGGCCGGAGAGGGUGACCGGUCACAUUGGGACUGAGAUACGGCCCAGACUCCUACGGGAGGCAGCAGUGGGGAAUAUUGCACAAUGGGCGCAAGCCUGAUGCAGCGACGCCGCGUGAGGGAUGGAGGCCUUCGGGUUGUGAACCUCUUUCGCUCAUGGUCAAGCCACAACAAUGGUUGUGGUGAGGGUAGUGGGUAAAGAAGCGCCGGCUAACUACGUG
rnacentral:rRNA from 1 species